CCUGAGGCCUAUCCUGACCUGGCCUUAAAUGUGGGCCUGUGUUGUGGAAAAUGUCUCAAAGAACAAAUCUGUAGUUUCGCUUUACCCACACAGUUCUUUGCCAUGAACCUUGUGGGAUAUCACUGCAGAACAUUU